rnacentral:rRNA from 1 species
GAUGAACGCUGGCGGCGUGCCUAAUACAUGCAAGUAGAACGCUGAAGGAGGAGCUUGCUCUUCUGGAUGAGUUGCGAACGGGUGAGUAACGCGUAGGUAACCUGCCUGGUAGCGGGGGAUAACUAUUGGAAACGAUAGCUAAUACCGCAUGACAACAGUUAUUGCAUGAUAACCGUAUAAAAGGGGCAACUGCUCCACUACCAGAUGGACCUGCGUUGUAUUAGCUAGUUGGUGAGGUAACGGCUCACCAAGGCGACGAUACAUAGCCGGCCUGAGAGGGGGGACCGCCACCCUGGGACUGGGACACGGCCCAGACUCCUACGGGAGGCCGCAGGAGGGAAUCUUCGGCCAUGGACGGAAGUCUGACCGAGCAACGCCGCGUGAGGGAAGAAGGGUCUCGGAUCGGAAAGCUCUGUUGUAAGGGAAGAACGAGUGUGGGAGUGGAAAGUUCACACUGUGACGGUAUCUUACCAGAAAGGGACGGCUAACUACGUG